GAUGAACGCUGGCGGCGUGCCUAAUACAUGCAAGUCGAGCGAACAGACGAGGAGCUUGCUCCUUUGACGUUAGCGGCGGACGGGUGAGUAACACGUGGAUAACCUACCUAUAAGACUGGGAUAACUUCGGGAAACCGGAGCUAAUACCGGAUAAUAUGUUGAACCGCAUGGUUCAACAGUGAAAGACGGUUUUGCUGUCACUUAUAGAUGGAUCCGCGCUGCAUUAGCUAGUUGGUAAGGUAACGGCUUACCAAGGCAACGAUGCGUAGCCGACCUGAGAGGGUGAUCGGCCACACUGGAACUGAGACACGGUCCAGACUCCUACGGGAGGCAGCAGUAGGGAAUCUUCCGCAAUGGGCGAAAGCCUGACGGAGCAACGCCGCGUGAGUGAAGAAGGUCUUCGGAUCGUAAAACUCUGUUAUUAGGGAAGAACAAAUGUGUAAGUAACUGUGCACAUCUUGACGGUACCUAAUCAGAAAGCCACGGCUAACUACGUG
rnacentral:rRNA from 1 species